rnacentral:rRNA from 1 species
UCGAGAAUAUUCCGCAAUGGGCGAAAGCCUGACGGAGCGACGCCGCGUGGAGGAAGAAGUCCUUCGGGAUGUAAACUCCUUUUGCGAACUAGUAAGUUAUUGAACAGUUCGAGAAUAAGAGGUUGCUAAACUCGUGCCAGCAGCAGCGGUAAUACGAGUGCCUCAAGCGUUAUCCGGAAUUAUUGGGCGUAAAGGGUGUGUAGGUUGUUUUGUUAGUCUCUUGUUAAAUUCUUCGGCUCAACCGGGGACCUGCAAGGGAAACGGCAAGACUUUAGAGGGUGCGAGGGGUCUGUGGAACUCUAGGUGUAGCGGUGAAAUGCGUUGAUAUCUAGGGGAACACCAAAAGCGAAGGCAGCAGACUGGAGCAUUCCUGACACUGAAACACGAAAGCGUGGGUAGCGAAUGGG